CCUACGGGCGGCAGCAGUAGGGAAUAUUGCUCAAUGGGGGAAACCCUGAAGCAGCAACGCCGCGUGGAGGAUGAAGGUUUUCGGAUUGUUAACUCCUUUUGUUAGAGAAGAUAAUGACUGUAUCUAACGAAUAAGCACCGGCUAACUCCGUGCCAGCAGCCGCGGGAAUACGGCGGGUGCAAGCGUUACUCGGAAUCACUGGGCGUAAAGAGCGCGUAGGCGGGAUAGCAAGUCAGAUGUGAAAUCCUAUGGCUUAACCAUAGAACUGCAGUUGAAACUGUUAUUCUAGAGUAUGGGAGAGGUAGGUGGAAUUCUUGGUGUAGGGGUAAAAUCCGUAGAGAUCAAGCGGAAUACUCAUUGCGAAGGCGACCUGCCAGAACAUAACUGACGCUGAUGCGCGAAAGCGUGGGGAGCAAACAGGAUUAGAUACCCCAGUAGUC
rnacentral:rRNA from 1 species